rnacentral:rRNA from 1 species
CAAUAGCGUAUAUUAAAGUUGUUGCAGUUAAAAAGCUCGUAGUUGGAUUUCUGGUGGGAGCGAUCGGUCUGGCGCUUAGCGCGAGUACUUGCAUCGUCUCCGGCCAUCCUUGGGGAGAGUCUGUCUGGCAUUAGGUUGUCGGGCAGAGGAUCCUCAUCGUUUACUGUGAAAAAAUUAGAGUGUUCAAAGCAGGCUUAUGCCGUUGAAUAUAUUAGCAUGGAAUAAUAAGAUAGGACUUUGGUACUAUUUUGUUGGUUUGCGCACCGAAGUAAUGAUUAAUAGGGACAGUUGGGGGUAUUCGUAUUCCGUUGUCAGAGGUGAAAUUCUUGGAUUUACGGAAGACGAACUACUGCGAAAGCAUUUACCAAGGAUGUUUUCAUUA